AUGGUUUUGGCAGAGUGGUUUGUGCGGCCCUCCUAUGCUUGAUGUCUCGGGUUCGAUUCCCGUACGGUACA